rnacentral:rRNA from 1 species
ACGGGUGAGUAACACGUGAGUAAUCUGCCCCUGGCUUUGGGAUAGCCACCGGAAACGGUGAUUAAUACCGGAUACGACCACUUCUCGCAUGGGAUGGUGGUGGAAAGUUUUUCGGCCAGGGAUGUGCUCGCGGCCUAUCAGCUUGAUGGUGAGGUAAUGGCUCACCAUGGCUUCGACGGGUAGCCGGCCUGAGAGGGUGACCGGUCACACUGGGACUGAGACACGGCCCAGACUCCUACGGGAGGCAGCAGUGGGGAAUAUUGGACAAUGGGCGGAAGCCUGAUCCAGCAACGCCGCGUGAGGGAUGACGGCCUUCGGGUUGUAAACCUCUUUCAGCAGGGACGAAGCGCAAGUGACGGUACCUGCAGAAGAAGCACCGGCCAACUACGUGCCAGCAGCCGCGGUAAUACGUAGGGUGCGAGCGUUGUCCGGAAUUAUUGGGCGUAAAGGGCUCGUAGGCGGUUUGUCGCGUCGGGAGUGAAAACCAGGUGCUUAACACCUGGCUUGCUUUCGAUACGGGCAGACUAGAGGUAUUCAGGGGAGAACGGAAUUCCUGGUGUAGCGGUGAAAUGCGCAGA